AAACUGGAGAGUUUGAUCCUGGCUCAGGACGAACGCUGGCGGCGUGCUUAACACAUGCAAGUCGAGCGGUUCUUUAUUCAAGCUUGCUUGGGUAAAGGAUAGCGGCGAACGGGUGAGUAA
rnacentral:rRNA from 1 species